rnacentral:rRNA from 1 species
UGUCGUGAUGAUGGCACUGAGGUCACACCUGUUCCCAUACCGAACACAGUAGUUAAGCUCAGUAGCGCCAAAAGUAGUUGGAGGAUCGCCUCCU